GAAAGGAACGCGAAGAACCUUACCUAAGCUUGACAUCCCAUUGACCUCUCCCUAAUCGGAGAUUUCCCUUCGGGGACAGUGGUGACAGGUGCUGCAUGGCUGUCGUCAGCUCGUGUCGUGAGAUGUUGGGUUAAGUCCCGCAACGAGCGCAACCCUUGCCUUUAGUUGCCAGCAUUAAGUUGGGCACUCUAGAGGGACUGCCGAGGAUAACUCGGAGGAAGGUGGGGAUGACGUCAAAUCAUCAUGCCCCUUAUGCUUAGGGCUACACACGUGCUACAAUGGGUGGUACAGAGGGUUGCCAAGCCGCGAGGUGGAGCUAAUCCCUUAAAGCCAUUCUCAGUUCGGAUUGUAGGCUGAAACUCGCCUACAUGAAGCUGGAGUUACUAGUAAUCGCAGAUCAGAAUGCUGCGGUGAAUGCGUUCCCGGGCCUUGUACACACC
rnacentral:rRNA from 1 species